rnacentral:rRNA from 1 species
GACGAACGCUGGCGGCGUGCUUAACACAUGCAAGUCGAACGGAAAGGCCCUGCUUUUGUGGGGUGCUCGAGUGGCGAACGGGUGAGUAACACGUGAGUAACCUGCCCUUGACUUUGGGAUAACUUCAGGAAACUGGGGCUAAUACCGGAUAGGAGCUCCUGCUGCAUGGUGGGGGUUGGAAAGUUUCGGCGGUUGGGGAUGGACUCGCGGCUUAUCAGCUUGUGGGUGGGGUAGUGGCUUACCAAGGCUUUGGCGGGUAGCCGGCCUGAGAGGGUGACCGGCCACAUUGGGACUGAGAUACGGCCCAGACUCCUACGGGAGGCAGCAGUGGGGAAUAUUGCCCAAUGGGCGGAAGCCUGAUGCAGCAACGCCGCGUGCGGGAUGACGGCCUUCGGGUUGUAAACCGCUUUCGCCUGUGACGAAGCGUGAGUGACGGUAAUGGGUAAAGAAGCACCGGCUAACUACGUG